AAAGCGUCUUCCACGCCCAAUUCCUUUCGCUUCGCUUCGAGUUCUGCCUCGAGCUGUUCAAGAUAUUCGCGGGCACGGCUUUGCAGCUCGUUGGCGGUUUCCUCGUCGAAACCCUCAAUACUGGUGAGUUCCCGUGGGUCCACCAGCGCCAGAUCUUCGACCGAACCGAAGCCCUCGGAUGCCAGCAACUGGCCGACGACUUCGUCGACAUUGAGGGCUUCCAUGAAGACGCGGGUGGAAUUCUCGAAGUCGGCCUGACGGCGCUCCGAUUCUUCCUGUUCGGUCAGAAUGUCGAUGUCCCAGCCGGUGAGCUGCGAGGCGAGACGCACGUUCUGCCCGCGGCGGCCGAUCGCAAGGGAUAGUUGGGUAUCGGGCACAACGACUUCAAUGCGCUCGCGGUCUUCAUCGAUGACGACUUUCGCGACUUCGGCAGGCGCCAGCGCGUUGACCACGAAGGUCGCGAUGUCCGGCGAC
rnacentral:misc_RNA from 1 species